rnacentral:rRNA from 1 species
CCUACGGGUGGCAGCAGUGAGGAAUAUUGGUCAAUGGGCGAGAGCCUGAACCAGCCAAGUCGCGUGAGGGAGUACUGCCCUAUGGGUUGUAAACCUCUUUUGUCGGGGAGCAAAAGCCGGACGUGUCCGGCUGUGAGAGUACCCGAAGAAAAAGCAUCGGCUAACUCCGUGCCAGCAGCCGCGGUAAUACGGAGGAUGCGAGCGUUAUCCGGAUUUAUUGGGUUUAAAGGGGGCGCAGGCGGAUUGUUAAGUCAGCGGUAAAAUCGUGGGGCUCAACCCCAUCCAGCCGUUGAAACUGGGGAUCUAGAGUGUGCGAGAGGUAUGCGGAAUGCGUGGUGUAGCGGUGAAAUGCAUAGAUAUCACGCAGAACCCCGAUUGCGAAGGCAGCAUACCGGUGCACAACUGACGCUCAGGCACGAAAGCGUGGGUAUCGAACAGGAUUAGAUACCCGUGUAGUC